AAUUUGGCAGUUAUCAGCACAGGCAAUGAAUUUACAUUCCUGUGGAUGGAAUCUCCUGGAUUAACAAAAUACGUUUGGCUUUGAAGAAAGUACUUGAAGCAGCAGAGGAACUUAAUUCCAGCGGUUUUAUUCUUGGCACUUAUAUUAAAAGCCAUGGGGAAAUUGCUACUGGCAGUGGGUGAGGCCCCUUUUUGAACAGCUUUCAAGAUAAUAACUUGUGGCCUUACUCUAGCUCUAGAAUUCAUGACUAAUUAUUCAGAUAUUUGGGGGGUAUUACCAUAUUAUCUUUGGAGAUCUGGGAACAUGACAGCAUGAGAACAAGUAGUUUCAUUACAAGGUAGCCUCCAUGUUUGUGAAGGCCCUAGGUACAAUGUUGAAAAAUUUGUCUUGGUUCUUUGGUCUUGGUUCUUGUCUAGUCUAGGGGACUAGAAAAAAUGGCCUUAGUUCUUGUUGUCAUAUAGAAACGAAAAGAGCUAAAUUCCUGCAUGAAAAAUGUAUCAUACCAUGAAUACUGUUAUUUUAGAGUUCCAUACCUGUAAGAACAUGAGUGUAAAGGAGUUCCUGCUGUUGUAUCCUUUCCACACUGCAAACAUGCAGCUCUCCCAGGUGAAUAUCUAAGCUUGAAUAUCUUUUUUGUUUCUAUUUCAAGAGUAAAAGUAUUGAUUAACGGUCCUUGGAGAGAUGUUGUCUCGGAAAUGAUUUCUCAGGUUUUUUUGUAGUGUAGGCAGUAUUGUAACAUUAAUAAUAAGUUGGUUCUCCACCCUCCUAUUAAUGAUCAAGGGGCCACAAAAGAAAUUCCUUACAUAUAAAGUAAUAUAGAUUUCUAGCAGCUGGAAACAGAGAAGCUGCUAUCUUGUGAGUUAACAGCUUUCUCUGGAGCAUCAGCAAAUGUUCCAUGGAUCAUCAGGGUUGAGAAGUUUUGUUCUGUGCCAUGCUAUAGAUUUAAUUUCUGUGUUCACUUCUAUUCUUCUUUUUUUUUUAAGAUUCACUCAUCAUGAAGAAAAUUCAGAAGUCAAUCACUAUGUGCUUUGAGGUUUAUUUAGCCACUCUUGUGGAAAAUCCUAGGCAUAUGCACAGCUGUAAAGAGCUUAGGGAAGGGAUCCCUGUUUGAACUCUCACAAAAAUCUGAUAAAUUUCAGCCUAUCCUGCAUUUGCUAGAACUCAGCAAUUAAGUUCAGCUCAGUUUAUAAACAUGUGUAAUGAAUGUUUUCAUCUUGACAAGAGUUAUGGAAUUAUUUAAAACUUGGGGUUAGCACCCGAGAAAUUGGGCAUGUAUUCAUUUUCAGCUGCUGUUGUUUUUUAUACUGACAGAAAACCAGGAAGCUAUGCGAUGCUUGACACACAUUCUGCUUUUGUGUCACACCUGUGAUUUUAAGUCCACAAAACUUGUAUAAUUUCCUUGACUGGUACUUUGAAAUGUGGAGACAUUGUGCUAGCUUGAAAGGAUAGUAUUUUCAUUGCUGUAUUCUAAACAAUAAAUAUUAAGAAAAUGUUCUGUUGUUGCCGCUCUAAAUAGUUGAUUAGUUGAAAUAAAGCGCAGUCACUGAGUGAUUUUUGAGUAGGUUAUUUAUUUAGACCAGCAGUAUUUUUUUUUUUUUUAAAUUUCUCCCUCUUUUAAUGACAGGUGGAGGGCUACAGAUGUAGACUACUAUUCUGGGAUCACUGUUAUUUGGCAUGAAUCUUAUUUCAAAAUGUCAAGGCAUCAGGAAAGCUGGUAUUAGGCUAA